UGCCUCUGUGCUCCUCGGGGACUGAGGAAUACGGGAGAGCCCUUGGACAUUCAGUGAGCAGUUAAUACCUCUGCUGCAAUCACUGCAGUCAGAUUGCUUCAGCCCAUGGAGUUACCUCCUUCAUGUUGGAGAAGAGCCACCUUCUUCUUGGGAUCAUGCUGACGUCUGACAAUCUUGGGAAUUGUUGGGGAAAGGAGAAGGAUGAAGCAAACUGACUUCAUCUUGCAGGGUAACUCCCUCAGGUGAAAGAGCAUCUUCAUUCAAGGGAAGAACAGUCUCAUCAGGCAAGUCUAACCCAGAUAAUGCCACAAUAUGCAACUCAGAAACCUGUCAGGACUGUGAAUACUACUGAUAUUGUAAUUCAUCAACACACUGGAUCAAGUCAAAGUCUGAAUUUAUCUUCAACCAUCUCAGAUCUGCUGAGGCAAAUGACUUUUUUACACCAUUAAGCUAUUUAUUAUAAGAAGCAGUCAACUCAUCAGCUGCCAUUGAACUCCUCAUGCCCUUCAUACUAUUGUCCUUUGAAUUGGAUGUUCAUUGGACAUUCCAGAUGAUCUGCCUAUUCCUUGAUGGCAAUACACUGGGUAACAAGCAUGACCUGGGAAUGAACUCCUUGGUUUUCCAGAAGAAAUGAUUCUGAACUCCAGUUGAAGAAUUCAGGAGGAAGAAAUCAGUGAUGGCCACAGAGUUGUUUCCAUUGAUCAAUCUUAAGAAAAGAAGGCUGUGUUUAACCAGUAGCUGAAGGUAAGGGCUGAGCACUUGCUUAGCACAUGUAACCUAAUAAAACAAUCAAGAGCCGGUCAAGAUGACUUCCUGAGUAGGGUCUGGUGAGAGGUAUCAACUAUAAAGAUGACUGCACAUUUCACUAAGAACUAGAAAUGGGCAGAGAAGGCAUUCAUGAAACAUGACUUUUGAGUACAUGUAAGAAUAUGUGUCCUGGACUUGAGGGGAGAAUAUUGUCUUGGAAAUUAUUACUGAGACAGUGCUUCUAGACUAAGCCCUGAUCAACAGGAAGCAAUGCCAAUGAUCUCACAAGGCCCUCAUCACUCAAGCCCGGAAGUGUCUAGUAGUCCCAGGGAGCUUCAGGGAUGGUGGUUGAGACACUGGUGAACUUUGAACAUCUGUGAUUUCUCUGUUUGCUUAAUGCCUGAUAGCCUUUGGUCUGCUAAUAAAUCUCCUUUAUGCACAGCUUGACCUCUGCACUUCCAAGGGGAGGAAUUGGAAUCAACCUAUGAGGAAAGAGAGGCUCUAGGAUUCUGGGUGGGAGCUUGAGCAAAUAAAAGGGUACCCUUGGAAAAGAACUUGCCCUUUGCAUCUCAUUUACCUUUGACAUGAGGUUGGAACAUUAACCAUAAUUUUUACCCUUUUCCUGUCUCAUAAAUUGUGCUGUGCAUUUCUUAAUCUUGUCUGCUAUGUUGAAAUUUACUAGAUCAGAAAAUAAAAAGCAUUAGGCAUGAAAAUUUGAGAUUCUUGUCCCUUUCUAAGCUCUGGAAAAUUCUGAGCUCAGAUUAAAACCAAGAACUGCAAGAUUAAGUGAUCAACAGAAGGAUGACUUCAGUGGCAAUGUGCUCUAAAUGGCAGGAGAGAAUAAAGAUUAUACUUAAAUUUGAUGAACUCUGUUCAGAAUUUUGGACUUCA